CCUUGCUAUAAUGUUAUUUAUCUUCUUAUUGAAACCCAAUAAGAAGCCAUCUCCUUUGUGUUGUUUAUAGUAACAAACAAAAACAAAUUUUUGCUCGAAGUAUGUUAUAAGUACCUAGUCCUUGCUUUUAACAUACAUUUAAUUCAUUUCCCGUAAAAGCCAAGUAACCGUUACUUGGCUUUU
rnacentral:sRNA from 1 species